rnacentral:rRNA from 1 species
AGGGUUUGAUUAUGGCUCAGAUUGAACGCUGGCGGCAGGCCUAACACAUGCAAGUCGAGCGGUAGAGAGGUGCUUGCACCUCUUGAGAGCGGCGGACGGGUGAGUAAUGCCUAGGAAUCUGCCUGGUAGUGGGGGAUAACGCUCGGAAACGGACGCUAAUACCGCAUACGUCCUACGGGAGAAAGCAGGGGACCUUCGGGCCUUGCGCUAUCAGAUGAGCCUAGGUCGGAUUAGCUAGUUGGUGGGGUAAUGGCUCACCAAGGCGACGAUCCGUAACUGGUCUGAGAGGAUGAUCAGUCACACUGGAACUGAGACACGGUCCAGACUCCUACGGGAGGCAGCAGUGGGGAAUAUUGGACAAUGGGCGAAAGCCUGAUCCAGCCAUGCCGCGUGUGUGAAGAAGGUCUUCGGAUUGUAAAGCACUUUAAGUUGGGAGGAAGGGCAUUAACCUAAUACGUUAGUGUUUUGACGUUACCGACAGAAUAAGCACCGGCUAACUCUGUGCCAGCAGCCGCGGUAAUACAGAGGGUGCAAGCGUUAAUCGGAAUUACUGGGCGUAAAGCGCGCGUAGGUGGUUCGUUAAGUUGGAUGUGAAAUCCCCGGGCUCAACCUGGGAACUGCAUUCAAAACUGUCGAGCUAGAGUAUGGUAGAGGGUGGUGGAAUUUCCUGUGUAGCGGUGAAAUGCGUAGAUAUAGGAAGGAACACCAGUGGCGAAGGCGACCACCUGGACUGAUACUGACACUGAGGUGCGAAAGCGUGGGGAGCAAACAGGAUUAGAUACCCUGGUAGUCCACGCCGUAAACGAUGUCAACUAGCCGUUGGGAGCCUUGAGCUCUUAGUGGCGCAGCUAACGCAUUAAGUUGACCGCCUGGGGAGUACGGCCGCAAGGUUAAAACUCAAAUGAAUUGACGGGGGCCCGCACAAGCGGUGGAGCAUGCGGUUUAAUUC